ACAUGGAGAGGGGGGACCUGAUCCUAGAUCAUAAUGAAUCAGAUUACAUGGAGAGGGGGGACCUGAUCCUAGAUCAUAAUGAAUCAGAUUACAUAGACAGGGGGAGCUGAUCCUGGUUCAGCACUCCUCCUUUGAGACACUGCCUUUAUGAAUAAGGAAUGCUGUUGUAAAGUCUAGUUACAGCAGGUGUUUACUGCCAUCUAGUGGAAGAUACCAAUAAAACACUUUAUUAUCAGGGUGGGGAGACGGCUGAGUGCAGGAUCCAUGGUGAGAUGACAAAAGAGGAAAACACACUAUAUGGAGAGAAGUACAAAUAAAGUAUUUCUGAACAAUAAAGGACAGAGUAAGAUAAUGAAUACCUGGAAUUACAUAUUAUUACUAGUUAGUAGAUCUCUUCUGUCAUCAUUAUUUACCCAUACACCGGUGACGUCAGAAGGGACGUGAUUUCCUCAUAUGAAAGUGAAAGUAACUGUGGUUACAAAAUGUAGCGCACAUUUCUCAGCAACAUUAGAAGCAGGAUAAAUGUGUUGAUUUGAAGGACAGACGUACAGACUCUGGAUCCAUUUUGAGAUGACAGAGCAGAAAACACUAUAUGGACAAUACUGACAAAUAAAGGGAAGCCUGGGCAACUGAAAUGUCUGAGCUUUUUCAACAGUGUAACUAUGAACAUCUGUACCAAAACCAAAUGAAGGGAGACAUAGAUAUGAUUAAAAAACAACUGUUGAUGCGACAUGAAAAAAAGAUGGGUGGAGGAGAUGAAUCAUAAACCCAAAUUGAGAACCUUUUGUUUGAUUCAGGGUGAAUUGGUGUGUGAGAGAUAUAUUAUGUAUAACCUACCUAAAAGCAAGAGAUCUCUAUGUGCACAGGGAAGAUCAGGGAUAUUGUCUCUGUGUAUUGAAACAGGUCAGAUCAGGGAUAUUGCCUCUGCGUAUUGAAACAGUUCAGAUCAGGGAUAUUGUCUCUGCGUAUUGAAACAGUUCAGAUCAGGGAUAUUUCCUCUGCGUAUUGAAACAGUUCAGAUCAGGGAUAUUGUCUCUGCGUAUUGAAACAGUUCAGAUCAGGGAUAUUUCCUCUGAGUAUUGAAACAGGUCAGAUCAGGGAUAUUGUCUCUGAGUAUUGAAACAGGUCAGAUCAGGGAUAUUGUCUCUGCGUAUUGAAACAGGUUAUUUCAGGGAUAUUGUCUCUGUGUAUUGAAACAGGUACGAUCAUGGAUAUUGCCUCUGAGUAUUGAAACAGGUAAGAUCAGGGAUAUUUUCUCUGAGUAUUGAAACAGGUCAGUAUUGUGGUGAAAUGGAGGAAAGACUAUGUAACUAUUGUGACCUUAAAGAAAUAGAGAAUUAAACUGAUUUAAUCCUCUAUUUCCUUUUCUACCAUGACAUACGCUUGCUCUUAUUCCAGAAAGACCACCAGAUAUACCCUGGCAGUAUGUGAUGAGUGAUGAGGAGAAAUUGAAAUGUUUUUUUGUCCAUUGUGUAUUUCCGUUUGUGGAAUAUUUAGAUAAAUCCUGGAAUAUAAGAAAAAUGUUUACCUAUAAUUAAAUUGUAAAAAUAUUUAGCUUCUGCGUGGUAAAUGGUACAUGUGUAUAUAGAUUGUGUAUAGACUUGUCUCCCAUAUGACUCUUCUAUGUGGUAAAUGGUAUGUGUAUAUAGAUUGUGUAUAGACUUGUCUCCCAUAUGAGUCUUCUAUGUGGUAAAUGGUACAUGUGUAUAUAUAGAUU